AUUGAACGCUGGCGGCGUGCCUAAUACAUGCAAGUAGGACGCAGUUGCGAACGGGUGAGUAACGCGUAGGUAACUACCUAUUAGAGGGGGAUAACUAUUGGAAACGAUAGCUAAUACCGCAUACUAGUAGAUGGACCUGCGUUGUAUUAGCUAGUAGGUAGGGUAAGGGCCUACCUAGGCAACGAUAAAUAGCCGAUCUGAGAGGGGGGUCGGCGAAACUGGGAAUGAGACAAGGCCCAGACCCCUACGGGAGGCAGCAGUAGGGAAGCUGCGGAAAUGGGGGGAAUCCUGAACGAGCAAAGCCGCGUGAGUGAAGAAGGGUUUCGGAUCGUAAAGCUCUGUUGUUAAGGAAGCGGUACUUACCCAGAAAGGGACGGCUAACUACGUGCCAGCAGCCGCGGUAAUAC
rnacentral:rRNA from 1 species